rnacentral:rRNA from 1 species
CAUGGCACUUCAGAGGAUAGCAGAAGCGUUUGGGAAAACGCGCCAGAGAGGGUGAGAGCCCCGUAAGCGAAAUCCAAAGAAGGCCUAUCAGUAUCCUGAGUAGGGCGGGACACGUGAAAUCCCGUUUGAAUCCGCGAGGACCAUCUCGCAAGGCUAAAUACUAACCAGUGACCGAUAGUGAACCAGUACCGUGAGGGAAAGGUGAAAAGAACCCCGGGAGGGGAGUGAAAGAGAACCUGAAACCGUGUGCCUACAAGUAGUCAGAGCCCGUUAACGGGUAAUGGCGUGCCUUUUGUAGAAUGAACCGGCGAGUUGCGUUAGUCAGCAAGGUUAAGUCAGAAAAGACGGAGCCGCAGCGAAAGCGAGUCUGAAGAGGGCGAGCAGUUGGCUGACGCAGACCCGAAACCAAGUGACCUACCCAUGACCAGGUUGAAGGCGCGGUAAAACGCGCUGGAGGACCGAACCCACGUAAGUUGAAAAUUGCGGGGAUGAGUUGUGGGUAGCGGUGAAAUUCCAAACGAACUUGGAGAUAGCUGGUUCUCUCCGAAAUAGCUUUAGGGCUAGCCUCGCAAAGAGGAUGCUGGAGGUAGAGCUCUGUUUGGACUAGGGGCCCGUCAAGGGUUACUGAAUUCAGAUAAACUACGAAUUCCAGACAUUUAUGUGCGGGAGUCAGACUGCGAGUGAUAAGAUCCGUAGUCGAAAGGGAAACAGCCCAGAUCACCAGUUAAGGUCCCAAAAUUCAUGCUAAGUGGAAAAGGAUGUGGAGUUGCGCAGACAACUAGGACGUUGGCUCAGAAGCAGCCAUCAUUCAAAGAGUGCGUAAUAGCUCACUAGUCGAGUGACGCCGCGCCGAAAAUUUACCGGGGCUAAGCAUGAUACCGAAACUGUGGAUGUGCAUUUAUGCACGUGGUAGGAGAGCGUUCUAGCGGCGGUGAAGCAUGACUGAGAAGACAUGUGGAGCUUCUAGAAGUGAGAAUGCCGGUAUGAGUAACGAAAGACAGGUGAGAAUCCUGUCCGCCGCAAGACUAAGGUUUCCUGGGGCAGGCUCGUCCGCCCAGGGUAAGUCGGGACCUAAGGCGAGGCCGAGAGGCGUAGUCGAUGGACAACAGGUUGAAAUUCCUGUACUGCACCGAAUCGUUAUGAGCGAUGGAGGGACGCAGGAGGCUAGCAGCGCGUGGUGCUGGAUACCACGUUCAAGCGUCAAGUCUGAGAGCGAGUCAAAUGCUUGCU